GGAGAGAUGACCGAGAGGCCGAAGGUGCUCGCCUGCUAAGCGAGUGUACGGAUUAAACCCGUACCGAGGGUUCGAAUCCCUCUCUCUCCGCCA
rnacentral:tRNA from 2 species